rnacentral:lncRNA from 1 species
GCCUUUGUAUUUGAGAUUGUAAUGACUUUUGGCCUGGUUUACACUGUGUACGCCACCGCGAUUGACCCGAAGAAGGGAGAAGUUGGCAUUAUUGCACCAAUUGCAAUUGGUUUCAUUGUGGGUGCCAACAUUCUUGCUGGUGGGGCAUUUACUGGUGCUUCAAUGAACCCUGCAGUGUCAUUUGGCCCUGCUCUGGUUAGCUUCACCUGGACCCAUCACUGGGUAUACUGGGCUGGACCUCUAAUUGGUGGUGGACUUGCUGGUAUUGUUUAUGAAGUCUUCUUCAUCAGUCAUUCUCACGAGCCACUGCCC